rnacentral:lncRNA from 1 species
CAAUGAGGACUCAUUCUGUCCAGGCUGUCUCAGAGUCCUGGGCUCAAGUGAUCCUUCAUCUCAGCCUCCCUAGUAGCUGGGACUACAAGUAUCUGCCACUGUUCCCAGCUCAACUGGAUUUUUAGCAGAACAAAAUCUGGGUGUUUUCAAUGACACUAUUCCCUACCUGCCUCUGCAAACAAUAAAGUCCUUACAUUGUUAGAUUGACUUUAGGAUCUUGGUUAGAGCCUGCUAUCACUCUGUGUCUGUGCCCUGUUAUGGGAACAGAAGUUUCUCCUCAUUCCAGAUUUUAGUUAGUAAAUUGGGAAAAUUUCCUUCCUGGCUGUUGUGCCUGAAGCUAUAGCUUGUUGGUUUCUGAUUUUUUUUUUUGUCUUUUACAUCUGAUAACAUAUUUAACUCUAUUGUCCACUUGCAGCUCAGGCUUGACUGACUUGUGUUUGUAUAAUUCUAGUAAAUAAAAUAGCCCCCAAAAAAGACUUUUGUGAAAACUAUGGUAGAUCACAACCUUCAACAAAUCUUCAUCUUGCAAUGCAG